GCCAGUAUAGCUCAGCUGGUUAGAGCACCGGUUUCAUAAGCAGGGGGGCAGAGGUUCAAGUCCUCUUACUGGCACCA
rnacentral:tRNA from 1 species